rnacentral:rRNA from 1 species
CCCUUAGAUGUCCUGGGCCGCACGCGUGCUACACUGAUGCAUACAGCGAGUACUUUCCAGCUCCGCGAGGCAGCUGGUAAUCAGCAAUAUGCAUCGUGCUGGGGAUAGAUCUUUGGAAUUAUAGAUCUUGAACGAGGAAUUCCUAGUAAGCGCAAGCCAUUAGCUUGCGCUGAUUAAGUCCCUGCCCUUUGUACACACCGCCCGUCGCUCCUACCGAUUUCGAGUGAUUCGGUGAACCUUUUGGACAGCGUCUGUCCUCGUGUCAGAUGCUGAAAGUCAAGUAAACCAUAUCACUUAGAGGAAGGAGAAGUCGUAACA